AUAACUUUCAGAACAUAAAUAGGAAAAAAAAAGUAAGAAACAAGGGGGAAACAAUAGUGUAAAAAUAUAAAAGAUAAUCAGGCAGUGAAAGUCUGCUCUAACUUUUAACAGCUUUGAUGUCCUAUACCAAGGACCAUGAUGUGACAGCAGGACAAUGUAAUAGGAUAAAUCCUUUAUUUAACAUCAAUAAAAAUGAUCUCUCCAUUGGGAUGCUGAUAAUGUUCGUCCUCAAACCCUCUGACACGCAGCUAUCACUUGCGGUCCUCUGGUAGCUAAACACGUCCGGUAGUAGGAGGUUCGUAUGGCACCUACUGAUGUUGUGUUGCAUGAUAACGCGUUUCGCCUGGGCAGCUUCCUCAGGUAACAUCUUG